GCACCCCCAAUUCCCAAAAAGAAACACAACUGCAACUCAGCCCCAAAACUCAUGCUCCUCCGCAUCUUGUAGCUCGAAAAACCCAGGUGAAGCAUCAUCCUUUCAUUAACCAAAGACUCCCUAAACUCCGUUGAAACUCAGCCCUAAAGCUCAGCAAAAUCCAAGUGAAAAAGAGAAGCAAAACCAGCUCAAAAUAACCGAAAAUAACCUCAAAAUAAGCCGGAGCUCAGCCUCCUCGUUUUGGUUUAGUUCGAGUUUUCCGACGAGCUUCGAGGCUAUCGG
rnacentral:lncRNA from 1 species